rnacentral:rRNA from 1 species
UAUACUGUCUCCCCCCCUUAAUCAGUGAAACUGAUCUCCCCGUGAAGAAGCGGGGAUACACAUAUAAGACGAGAAGACCCCAUGGAGCUUUAAACUUGUACCACUGCCCCAAACUACAUCAAUCAACCGGGCAAACAAUGGCUACUAGUCUUUCGGCUGGGGCGACCACGGAGAAAAACUAAACCUCCACGAUGAAAGGAACACCCUAAUUAAAGAGCUACAGCUCUAAAAAUCAACAAAUUGACAUAAUUGACCCAAACACUUUGAUCAACGAACCAAGUUACCCUGGGGAUAACAGCGCANUCCAUUUCAAGAGACCCCAUCGACAAAUGGG